GUGGGGAAUAUUGGGCAAUGGGGGCAACCCUGACCCAGCGACGCCGCGUGAGGGAAGAAGGCCUUAGGGUCGUAAACCUCUGUUGUGUGGGAAGAAGGAAGUGACGGUACCACACGAGGAAGUCCCGGCUAACUACGUGCCAGCAGCCGCGGUAAUACGUAGGGGACGAGCGUUGUCCGGAAUUACUGGGCGUAAAGGGCGCGUAGGCGGUCAUUUAAGUCAGCUGUGAAAUGGUCCGGCUCAACCGGAUCAUGCGGUUGAAACUGGAUGACUGGAGUGCUGGAGAGGCAAGUGGAAUUCCCAGUGUAGCGGUGAAAUGCGUAGAUAUUGGGAAGAACACCGGUGGCGAAGGCGACUUGCUGGCCAGCAACUGACGCUGAGGCGCGAAAGCCAGGGGAGCGAACAGGAUUAGAUACCCUAGUAGUCC
rnacentral:rRNA from 1 species